AACAGGAUUAGAUACCCUGGUAGUCCACGCCGUAAACGAUGUCGACUUGGAGGCUGUUCCCCUGAGGAGUGGCUUCCGGAGCUAACGCGUUAAGUCGACCGCCUGGGGAGUACGGCCGCAAGGUUAAAACUCAAAUGAAUUGACGGGGGCCCGCACAAGCGGUGGAGCAUGUGGUUUAAUUCGAUGCAACGCGAAGAACCUUACCUACUCUUGACAUCCAGAGAACUUUCCAGAGAUGGAUUGGUGCCUUCGGGAACUCUGAGACAGGUGCUGCAUGGCUGUCGUCAGCUCGUGUUGCGAAAUGUUGGGUUAAGUCCCGCAACGAGCGCAACCCUUAUCCUUUGUUGCCAGCGAUUCGGUCGGGAACUCAAAGGAGACUGCCGGUGAUAAACCGGAGGAAGGUGGGGAUGACGUCAAGUCAUCAUGGCCCUUACGAGUAGGGCUACACACGUGCUACAAUGGCGCAUACAAAGAGAAGCGACCUCGCGAGAGCAAGCGGACCUCAUAAAGUGCGUCGUAGUCCGGAUCGGAGUCUGCAACUCGACUCCGUGAAGUCGGAAUCGCUAGUAAUCGUGGAUCAGAAUGCCACGGUGAAUACGUUCCCGGGCCUUGUACACACCGCCCGUCACACCAUGGGAGUGGGUUGCAAAAGAAGUAGGUAGCUUAACCUUCGGGAGGGCGCUUACCACUUUGUGAUUCAUGACUGGGGUGAAGUCGUAACAAGGUAGC
rnacentral:rRNA from 1 species